rnacentral:tRNA from 1 species
ACCUGGCUGGCUCAGUUGGUAGGGCAUGUGACUCUUAAUCUCAGGGUUGUGAGUUCAAGCCCCAUGUUGGGUG